rnacentral:rRNA from 1 species
UAGAGUUUGAUCCUGGCUCGGAAUGAGCCCUAGUUACAGGCUUAACACAUGCAAGUCGAGGGAAACGACAUCGAAAGCUUGCUUUUGAUGGGUGUCGACCGGCGACACGGGGUGAGGUAAACGGGUAUCCAACCUGCCCAUCAAUUGGGGAUAACCUUGCGAAAGUAAGACUAAUACCCAAUGAUAUCUCUAGAAGACAUCUGAAGGAGAUUAAAGAUUCAUCGGUGAUGGAUGGGGAUGCGUCUGAUUAGCUUGUUGGCGGGGUAACGGCCCACCAAGGCGACGAUCAGUAGGGGUUCUGAGAGGAAGGUCCCCCACAUUGGAACUGAGACACGGUCCAAACUCCAACGGGAGGCAGCAGUGAGGAAUAUUGGUCAAUGGGCGAGAGCCUGAACCAGCCAAGUAGCGUGCAGGAUGACGGCCCUAUGGGUUGUAAACUGCUUUUAUAAGGGAAUAAAGUGAGUCUCGUGAGACUUUUUGCAUGUACCUUAUGAAUAAGGACCGGCUAAUUCCGUGCCAGCAGCCGCGGUAAUACGGAAGGUCCGGGCGUUAUCCGGAUUUAUUGGGUUUAAAGGGAGCGUAGGCCGGAGAUUAAGCGUGUUGUGAAAUGUAGAUGCUCAACAUCUGCACUGCAGCGCGAACUGGUUUCCUUGAGUACGCACAAAGUGGGCGGAAUUCGUGGUGUAGCGGUGAAAUGCUUAGAUAUCACGAAGAACUCCGAUUGCGAAGGCAGCUCACUGGAGCGCAACUGACGCUGAAGCUCGAAAGUGCGGGUAUCGAACAGGAUUAGAUACCCUGGUAGUCCGCACGGUAAACGAUGAUUACUAGGUGUUGGAGGAUUGACCCCUUCAGUGCCGCAGUUAACACAAUAAGUAAUCCACCUGGGGAGUACGACCGCAAGGUUGAAACUCAAAGGAAUUGACGGGGGCCCGCACAAGCAGUGGAGUAUGUGGUUUAAUUCGAAGCAACGCGAAGAACCUUACCAGGUCUUGACAUCCGAUGCAUAGUGCAGAGAUGCAUGAAGUCCUUCGGAACAUCGAGACAGGUGGUGCAUGGUUGUCGUCAGCUCGUGUCGUGAGAUGUUGGGUUAAGUCCCGCAACGAGCGCAACCCUUAUUGCCAGUUACUACGCAAGAGGACUCUGGCGAGACUGCCGUUGACAAAACGGAGGAAGGUGGGGAUGACGUCAAAUCAUCAUGCCCUUUACGACCUGGGCUACACACGUACUACAAUGGCGUUUAACAAAGAGAAGCAAGACCGCGAGGUGGAGCAAAACUCAAAAACAACGUCUCAGUUCAGAUUGCAGGCUGCAACUCGCCUGCAUGAAGUCGGAAUUGCUAGUAAUCGCGGAUCAGCAUGCCGCGGUGAAAACGUUCCCGGGCCUUGCACACACCGCCCGUCAAG